GAACUCAGCAUCGCAGCCUCACCUCAGCCCUGACGUCUCGCCUCAACCUUGACGCCUUGCCCGUCUUAGUGCAUCACAAAUACGAUCUGUUCAUCUUGUGGGCAACAUGCAUGGCCACCCUUUUAAGAACUACCCUAACCAGAAUGAAGAGUCAACAGAUAGGAGAUCAUGUUACAAUCGUGGAGAGAUGGGGCAUUUUAUGACUCCACUGCAGCCAACCUCUUCAAGAUGAUAUCUGUUGCAAGGAAGAAGUGAGUAUAGAGAAAAGAAGUGCAACCGCAACUUAGUUACUAGCUCAAUUAACUAAAGUGACACCUCAUCAAAUACGGUUAUACCGGUUGGGAGCUAACAACUUGAUAGCUGGAGCUGGAGAGAGAAGAAGCGGUAGCACGAAGAGUAUAAGACAAGAGAGAGGAGGCGAUUAGAGCAUUCAUUCUUGAAUUUGAUGUAUAUUGAGAGUAGGUCUCGAGAGUCCGGAGAUUCUAUUUGAAUGUAUCGUGUAUCUUUCUCAAUUGUAUCAUUCCUAUCUUGUACUCCCUCCGUCCAAGGAAGAUAACCCAUUUUUAGGGCGGUACAUGAUUUUGUGCAAUUUUAUUUUAUGU